rnacentral:sRNA from 10 species
AAAAAUGCCAGAUGCUACACAUUCUUGGGUGACUAAAACUAUGAAUCUCAAGGGAUGCAGGGCUAAGUAUCUACAGAACUAUUCCUAUAUGGCAUACACUAGUUCAGAUAAUAGAGGAAGAGGUAGUGGUUGGGCCCUUUGGUUUGAUAAUCUGAUUGAUUGCAGACAAUUUGAAUCAAAAGGGCAGGAUCUAUAUGUUAAGAGUGUCUGCUUCAGAAUCAGAAUUGAAAGAUAAGCCUAGGAUAAAACUUCCUGCAGUAAUUGCAACACCACUAUGCUGUGCUUUCGGGGUUGUAUACAGUCGGUCAUUACCUUUACAGAGGCAAUGCAAAGUUGAACGGACUUGCUCCUAACCAAACUGAUGAUACAAGGCUACACAUGGAAUGCAGAAAGCCAAGCUUGGAUGCGAUAAGCCAAGGUUGAAGCUUGUUGCAUCUAUUGCAAAACCGCUGUGUUGCACUUUUGGGGCUGUUUAUAAUCAGUUAUUACAUUUACAGAGUCCGCAGAAAGUUGAAAGAGAAACAGAAAACAAUAAGGAAAAUGAUUCAGAAAAUCAAGGCCUGGAUGAAGACUUGGAGCUUGCAAUAUUUGCGCUUGCUACUCAUAGCUUUUCUAUGGACAACAAGCCAGGGGAAGGUGGUUUUGGAGCUGUUUAUAAGGGGCUAGAGAAAACCAUGUGAUAAAGGACAGGAGCACUGAAGGGCAAAGCGAAGACUCAGAAGUCCAGUUAUUCGACUUAUCAUUAGUAUCCGAAGCAAGCAAUGAUUUCUCCAUUGACAACAAACUAGGACAAGGUGGUUUUGGGCAUGCAUACAGGGGUAACCUGGUAGAUGGACAAGAGAUCGCUGUGAAGAGGCUUUCAAGAAGCUCUGGACAAGGUUUAACUGAGUUCAAAAAUGAAGUAGCACUAAUUGCCAAGCUUCAACAUCGAAAUCUUGUAAAGCUCCUGGGAUGUUGCAUUGAAGGAGAGGAAAAGAUGCUGGUUUAUGAAUAUAUGCCAAACAAAAGUUUGGACUUCUUCAAUUUCAGUAUUCAAUCUCUCAAUUAUCCUAUAAAUUCUUUAGGACUAGUUUAUAUCAAAGAGAGAUCCCUUGUUUUAACUUUAAUCCAAUAUUCCGCUUGUAAAGGUUUAGUUAGUAGAUGAACUAAUGUGAUGCCUUCCCUUUUAAAAGAACGAGUUGAUUAAUCCAUGAUUUCUCUGGGUUAGACAUAUUUAUUACUCCAUCAGUCUCAUAUACAA